rnacentral:rRNA from 1 species
UACGUAGGGCGCAAGCGUUAUCCGGAAUUAUUGGGCGUAAAGAGCUCGUAGGCGGCUUGUCGCGUCGAAUGUGAAAACUUGGGGCUCAACUCCAAGCUUGCAUUCGAUACGGGCAGGCUAGAGUUCGGUAGGGGAGACUGGAAUUCCUGGUGUAGCGGUGAAAUGCGCAGAUAUCGGGAGGAACACCAAUGGCGAAGGCAGCUCGCUGGGACGGUACUGACGCUGAGACGCGAAAGCGUGGGGAGCAAACAGG